CCGGUGGUAUGGGAUGGGCCCGCGUCUGAUUAGGCAGUUGGCGGGGUAAGAGCCCACCAAACCGACGAUCAGUAGCCGACCUGAGAGGGCGACCGGCCACAUUGGGACUGAGCCAGGGUCAAACUCU
rnacentral:rRNA from 1 species